AUUGAACGCUGGCGGCAGGCCUAACACAUGCAAGUCGAACGAGUGGCGGACGGGUGAGUAAUGUCUGGGAAACUGACUGCUGGAGGGGGAUAACUACUGGAAACGGUAGCUAAUACCGCAUACCAUCAGAUGUGCCCAGCUGGGAUUAGUUUGUUGGUGUGGUAACGGCUCACCAAGGCGACGAUCCCUAGCUGGUCUGAGAGGAUGACCAGCAACACUGGAACUGAGACACGGUCCAGAAUCCUACGGGAGGAAGCAGUGGGGAAUAUUCCACAAUGGGCGAAAGCCGGAUGCAGCCAUACCGCGUGUAUGAAGAAGGCUUGCGGUUUGCAAAGUACUUUCAGCGGGGAGGCGUUACCCGCAGAAGAAGCACCGGCUAACUCCGUGCCAGCAGCCGCGGUAAUAC
rnacentral:rRNA from 1 species